AACGUUGAAAAAUAAUUUUUAUCAGAGAAUUCCUUAAUAUUUUGGAAUAAUUCAAAUUACUUAUUUGGGAUAACUUUUAUAAUAUGAGGCCUCAGUAAUUAAUUUUGUGCUCCCUAUUGUUCCCAUAUUAAAUUAGAACUCAGAAUCCUAUUUUAAAGGAUAAAAGAGGAGAGUACCAUGAGUUUUUCUUUUAAAAAGAAAUCAAUCAUGUAUUUUUCUUGUUAAAGAAAAUAGACUUUAUUUUUUCCUCCUUUUUGAAUUGGAAAAAAUCUCUACAAGUAGGAUUCUCUCAACUUAGAAAAAGAUUGAAUUUUUCGAUUCAUACUUCAUAACCAAGUAUCGAGAGAGUUCGCAUGUCAAUUUGAGAUCAUUAUAGAAGGCAACAUAAUUGUUGUAUAUCUUUUCCAUUGACUUGAUGAUCUAUCUAACUUGGGAAAUUGCUUGUAGGAAGAUAUUUCUAAGUUGUGGAUUCACUUGAAUGUAUGUGUUCACGCUUUACGAGAAGAGGCUGGACCGAAAAAAUAUGGAGCUAGUAGAUUUUUUGUCUCUAAAUGGUGGACGACAAAUUAGAGAUAGAUCAAGCUCAAGACUUCAUAGAUGAUAAAAAUCUGCAUGGAUGAAGAAGCAAGUGGCCAAGAUGCACUUUAUCAAACAAAAGAGAACAACAUCACAACGAAGGUUAAUUUAAUUACUCUGAAUAAUUUUACUCCUGAAACUCACAAAAAUACUUCUUUGAAGCCUAAGGAGAAAAAAUUCAACAAAAAUAAUGGUAGACCUCCCAAGAAAUAUAAUGGUGAAAACUACAAAGCACAAAAUCAACAAUUUCAAGAAAGUGUACCAUGGUUUGUUUUUGGCAAAAGUGGGCAUAUUCUCGAUUUUGAAGAUUUCGGAAACGUGGUCGUAAUCCUAAGGUGCAGGUCACAGAGAAGGUGGAAGACUCGUUGAAGUUGUAUGGAUCAUCAUUCUCUAGACUUCGGUAGGUCCUCUUGAUGUUUGAGGAUGCUACACAUAUUUAUCUAGAAUAGUUCUGUAGACAUAGCUAGUGGAUGUUAUCCCUAGCGUUUCUUUUGAGAUCUUUGUUUCAAAGCAUUGUAUUAUGGCCGAUUUGGCAAACUAUUACAUUAUAUAUUGAUCUCUUGAUUUGAAUUGUUUCUUCAAUAUAAAUGGUUGUUUUUAA